AGUGAACGCUGGCGGCGUGCUUAACACAUGCAAGUCGAACGAGAACGGAAUAUAGCUUGCUAUAUUUGUCAGCUAAGUGGCGCACGGGUGAGUAAUGUAUAGAUAACCCGCCCUUAAGAAAGGAAUAACAGUUGGAAACGACUGCUAAUGCCCUAUAUGCCUUUAAUACAUAAGUAUGCAAGGGAAACGCUUUAGUGCUUAAGGAUGGGUCUGUAUGGUAUCAGCUUGUUGGUGAGGUAAUGGCUCACCAAGGCUAUGACGCCUAACUGGUUUGGGAGGAUGAUCAGUCACACUGGAACUGAGACACGGUCCAGACUCCUACGGGAGGCAGCAGUGGGGAAUAUUGCACAAUGGACGAAAGUCUGAUGCAGCAACGCCGCGUGGAGGAUGACACAUUUCGGUGCGUAAACUCCUUUUAUAUAGGAAGAUAAUGACGGUACUAUAUGAAUAAGCACCGGCUAACUCCGUGCCAGCCGCCGCAGUAA
rnacentral:rRNA from 1 species